rnacentral:rRNA from 1 species
AGCUAGGCCUAACAUUGUUAGGUCGCCAGCUUCUUAGAGGGACUAUCGGUGUUUAACCGAUGGAAGUUUGAGGCAAUAACAGGUCUGUGACGCCCUUAGAUGUUCUGGGCCGCACGCGCGCUACACUGAUGAAGUCAUCGAGUUCAUUUCCUUUAUCGGAAGAUAUGGGUAAUCUUUUGAAACUUCAUCGUGCUGGGGAUAGAGCAUUGCAACUAUUGCUCUUGAACGAGGAAUCCCUAGUAAGUACAAGUCACUAGCUUGUGCUGAUUACGUCCCUGCCCUUUGUACACACCGCCCGUCGCUACUACCGAUUGAAUGGCUUAGUGAGGCCUUCGGAUUGAGAUUAGGAGACUGGCAACAGACUCCUGGUUUUGAAAAGUUGGACAAACUUGGUCAUUUAGAGGAAGUAAAGGUCGUAACAAGGUUUCCGUAGGUGAACCUGCGG